AACGAACGCUGGCGGCAGGCUUAACACAUGCAAGUCGAGCGCCCCGCCAGGGGAGCGGCUGACGGGUGAGUAACGCGUGGGAACGUACCUUUUGGUUCGGAACAACUCCGGGAGACUGGAGCUACUACCGGAUAAGCCCUAACGGGGAAAGAUUUAUCGCCGAAAGAUCGGCCCGCGUCUGAUUAGCCAGUUGGUGAGGUAACGGCGCACCAAGGCGACGAUCAGUAGCUGGUCUGAGAGGAUGAUCAGCCACACUGGGACUGAGACACGGCCCAGACUCCUACGGGAGGCAGCAGUGGGGAAUAUAGGACAACGGGGGGAAGCAUGAUCCAGCCAUGCCGGGUGAGUGAUGAAGGCAGUAGGGUUGUAAAGCUCUUUUGUACGGGAAGAUAAUGACUGUACCGGAAGAAUAAGCCCCGGCUAACUUCGUG
rnacentral:rRNA from 1 species